rnacentral:rRNA from 1 species
UACGUAGGGUCCGAGCGUUGUCCGGAAUUACUGGGCGUAAAGAGCUCGUAGGUGGUUUGUCGCGUUGUUCGUGAAAACUCACAGCUCAACUGUGGGCGUGCGGGCGAUACGGGCAGACUAGAGUACUGCAGAGGAGACUGGAAUUCCUGGUGUAGCGGUGGAAUGCGCAGAUAUCAGGAGGAACACCGGUGGCGAAGGCGGGUCUCUGGGCAGUAACUGACGCUGAGGAGCGAAAGCGUGGGGAGCGAACAGG